CUGAGCCAUCCAGUGCCAUUCUCAUUGCUGUGGCGACACUCACACUUGCUGCUGCCAUGACUGAGCAGAUGACCCUUCAUGGCACCCUCAAGGGCCACAACGGCUGGGUAACGCAGAUCGCGACACUCCGCAGUUCCUGGACAUGAUCCUUUCUCCCUCUUGAGACAAGAUCAUUACCACAUGGAAGCUCACCAGGGAUGAGACUAACUAUGGCAUCCCACAAUGUGCUCUACAGAGUCACUCCCACUUUGUUAGUGACGUGGUGAUCUCCUUGGACAGCCAGUUUGCCCUCUUGGGCUCCUGGGAUGGAACCCGGCAUCUCUGGGAUCUCACAACAGAUACCACCACAAGAAGAUUUGUGGGUCAUACCAACAAGAUGUUGAGUUGUGGCCUUUUCCUCUGAUAAUCGGCAGACUGUCUCUGGAUCCCAAGAUAAAACUAGCAAGUUAUGGAAGACUCUGGGUGUGUACAAACACACUAUCUAGGAUGAGAGCCACUCAGAGUGGGUAUCUUGUGUCCACUUUUCACCCAACAGCAGUAAUCCUAUCAUCGUUUCCUGCGGCUGGGACAAGCUGGUCAAGGUAUGGAAUCUGGCUAAAUGCAAGUUGAAGAUCAACCACAUUGGCCACACAGGCUAUCUGAACACUGUGACAGUCUCUCCAGAUGGAUCCCUUUGUGCUUCUGGAGGCAAGGAUGGCCAGGCCAUGCUAUGGGAUCUCAAUAAAGGCAAGCACCUAUAUACGCUAGGUGGUGAGGACAUCAACACCCUGAGCUUCAGCCCCAGCCGCUACUGGCUCUGUGCUGCCACAGACCCCAGCAUCAAGAUCUGGGACUUAGAGGGCAAGAUCAUUGUAGAUGAGCUGAAGCAGGAAAUUAUUAGUACCAGCAGCAAGGCAGAGCCAUCCCAGUGCACCUCUCUGGUCUGGUCGGCUGAUGGCCAGACUCUGUCUGCUCGCUAUACAACCUGGUGCGAGUGUGGCAGAUGACUGUCAACACCCGUUAG